rnacentral:rRNA from 1 species
GCAAGUCGAACGGUAGGGAAGUGCUUGCACUUCCUGCGCGUGUCGAACGGGUGAGUAUCACGUAAGUGAUCUGCCCUGCGGUUGGGGAUAGCUCAUGGAAACAUGAGGUAAUACCGAAUAAUCUUAAUUCCUUUGAAUUGGAGUUAAGUAAAAGAGCUACGGCUCUGCCUUAGGAUGAGCUUGCGGUCCAUUAGCUAGUUGGUGGGGUAAGAGCCUACCAAGGCGACGAUGGAUAGCCGGCCUGAGAGGGUGGCC